rnacentral:rRNA from 1 species
GAUGAACGCUGGCGGCGUGCCUAAUACAUGCAAGUCGAGCGAACGGACGAGAAGCUUGCUUCUCUGAUGUUAGCGGCGGACGGGUGAGUAACACGUGGAUAACCUACCUAUAAGACUGGGAUAACUUCGGGAAACCGGAGCUAAUACCGGAUAAUAUUUUGAACCGCAUGGUUCAAAAGUGAAAGACGGUCUUGCUGUCACUUAUAGAUGGAUCCGCGCUGCAUUAGCUAGUUGGUAAGGUAACGGCUUACCAAGGCAACGAUGCAUAGCCGACCUGAGAGGGUGAUCGGCCACACUGGAACUGAGACACGGUCCAGACUCCUACGGGAGGCAGCAGUAGGGAAUCUUCCGCAAUGGGCGAAAGCCUGACGGAGCAACGCCGCGUGAGUGAUGAAGGUCUUCGGAUCGUAAAACUCUGUUAUUAGGGAAGAACAUAUGUGUAAGUAACUGUGCACAUCUUGACGGUACCUAAUCAGAAAGCCACGGCUAACUACGUGCCAGCAGCCGCGGUAAUACGUAGGUGGCAAGCGUUAUCCGGAAUUAUUGGGCGUAAAGCGCGCGUAGGCGGUUUUUUAAGUCUGAUGUGAAAGCCCACGGCUCAACCGUGGAGGGUCAUUGGAAACUGGAAAACUUGAGUGCAGAAGAGGAAAGUGGAAUUCCAUGUGUAGCGGUGAAAUGCGCAGAGAUAUGGAGGAACACCAGUGGCGAAGGCGACUUUCUGGUCUGUAACUGACGCUGAUGUGCGAAAGCGUGGGGAUCAAACAGGAUUAGAUACCCUGGUAGUCCACGCCGUAAACGAUGAGUGCUAAGUGUUAGGGGGUUUCCGCCCCUUAGUGCUGCAGCUAACGCAUUAAGCACUCCGCCUGGGGAGUACGACCGCAAGGUUGAAACUCAAAGGAAUUGACGGGGACCCGCACAAGCGGUGGAGCAUGUGGUUUAAUUCGAAGCAACGCGAAGAACCUUACCAAAUCUUGACAUCCUUUGACAACUCUAGAGAUAGAGCCUUCCCUUCGGGGGACAAAGUGACAGGUGGUGCAUGGUUGUCGUCAGCUCGUGUCGUGAGAUGUUGGGUUAAGUCCCGCAACGAGCGCAACCCUUAAGCUUAGUUGCCAUCAUUAAGUUGGGCACUCUAAGUUGACUGCCGGUGACAAACCGGAGGAAGGUGGGGAUGACGUCAAAUCAUCAUGCCCCUUAUGAUUUGGGCUACACACGUGCUACAAUGGACAAUACAAAGGGCAGCGAAACCGCGAGGUCAAGCAAAUCCCAUAAAGUUGUUCUCAGUUCGGAUUGUAGUCUGCAACUCGACUACAUGAAGCUGGAAUCGCUAGUAAUCGUAGAUCAGCAUGCUACGGUGAAUACGUUCCCGGGUCU